CCGGUUUAAUAAGUCUCUGGUGAAAUCCUGUAGCUUAACUGUGGGAAUUGCUGGAGAUACUAUUAGACUUGAGACCGGGAGAGGUUAGAGGUACUCCCAGGGUAGAGGUGAAAUUCUGUAAUCCUGGGAGGACCGCCUGUUGCGAAGGCGUCUAACUGGAACGGUUCUGACGGUGAGGGACGAAAGUUAGGGGCGCGAACCGGAUUAGAUACCCGGGUAGUCCUAACUGUAAACGAUGCGGACUUGGUGUUGGGGUGGCUUUGAGCUGCUCCAGUGCCGAAGGGAAGCUGUUAAGUCCGCCGCCUGGGGAAGUACGGUCGCAAGACUGAAACUUAAGGAAUUGGCGGGGGAGCACCACAACGCGUGGAGCCUGCCGGUUUAAUUGGAUUCAACGCCGGACAUCUCACCAGAGGCGACAGCUGUAUGAUAGCCAGGUUGAUGACUUUGCUUGACUAGCUGAGUGGAGGUGCAUGG
rnacentral:rRNA from 1 species